UUUUUUUGGAGAAAAAAAAGUUAUUAGACAUCCCUCAACUCCUUUUCCUACAUUGAGACAGAAGUUUAAUGCUUGUUUUCCUCUUUAUCUGGAUUGCAAGUUUGGCUUUUCUGUUACAGAU
rfam:Cucumis melo, WGS project CAJI01000000 data, contig: 24946